UAGAUGGUAGGAGAGCGUUCCGUAAGCCUGCGAAGGUGUGUUGUAAAGCAUGCUGGAGGUAUCGGAAGUGCGAAUGCUGACAUGAGUAGCGAUAAUGCGGGUGAAAAGCCCGCACGCCGUAAGCCCAAGGUUUCCUGUUCAACGUUCAUCGGAGCAGGGUGAGUCGGCCCCUAAGGCGAGGCAGAGAUGCGUAGCUGAUGGGAAGCAGGUUAAUAUUCCUGCACCGUCGUAUGAUGCGAUGGGGGGACGGAUCGCGGAAGGUUGUCCGGGUGUUGGAAGUCCCGGUUCCUGUAUCGAAGAGGGUGUCUUGGCAAAUCCGGACACGUAACUCAAGGGUAUGGGACGAGCGGCCUAGUGCUGCGAAGCAAUCGGAAGGGGUCCCAAGAAAAGCCUCUAAGCUUCAGUCAUACGAGACCGUACCGCAAACCGACACAGGUGGGCGAGAUGAGUAUUCUAAGGCGCUUGAGAGAACUCGGGAGAAGGAACUCGGCAAAUUGGUACCGUAACUUCGGGAUAAGGUACGCCCUGGUAGUUUGAAGGCCCUGCGGCCGGAGGAUGAAGGGGUUGCAAUAAACUGGUGGCUGCGACUGUUUAAUAAAAACACAGCACUCUGCAAACACGAAAGUGGACGUAUAGGGUGUGACGCCUGCCCGGUGCUGGAAGAUUAAAUGAUGGGGUGCAAGCUCUUGAUUGAAGUCCCAGUAAACGGCGGCCGUAACUAUAACGGUCCUAAGGUAGCGAAAUUCCUUGUCGGGUAAGUUCCGACCUGCACGAAUGGCGUAACGAUGGCCACACUGUCUCCUCCCGAGACUCAGCGAAGUUGAAAUGUUUGUGAUGAUGCAAUCUACCCGCGGCUAGACGGAAAGACCCCAUGAACCUUUACUGUAGCUUUGCAUUGGACUGUGAACCAAUCUGUGUAGGAUAGGUGGGAGGCUGAGAAACCAGGACGCCAGUUCUGGCGGAGCCAACCUUGAAAUACCACCCUGGUUUGUUUGCGGUUCUAACCUAGUCCCGUAAUCCGGGUCGGGGACAGUGCAUGGUAGGCAGUUUGACUGGGGCGGUCUCCUCCCAAAGUGUAACGGAGGAGUUCGAAGGUACGCUAGGUACGGUCGGACAUCGUGCUAAUAGUGCAAUGGCAUAAGCGUGCUUAACUGCGAGACCGACAAGUCGAGCAGGUACGAAAGUAGGACAUAGUGAUCCGGUGGUUCUGUAUGGAAGGGCCAUCGCUCAACGGAUAAAAGGUACUCUGGGGAUAACAGGCUGAUUCCUCCCAAGAGUUCAUAUCGACGGGGGAGUUUGGCACCUCGAUGUCGGCUCAUCACAUCCUGGGGCUGUAGCCGGUCCCAAGGGUAUGGCUGUUCGCCAUUUAAAGUGGUACGUGAGCUGGGUUUAAAACGUCGUGAGACAGUUUGGUCCCUAUCUGCCGUGGGCGUUGGAAGUUUGAAGGGGGCUGCUCCUAGUACGAGAGGACCGGAGUGGACGAACCUCUGGUGUACCGGUUGUCACGCCAGUGGCAUUGCCGGGUAGCUAAGUUCGGAAGAGAUAACCGCUGAAAGCAUCUAAGCGGGAAACUCGCCUUGAGAUGAGACUUCCCCAGGCUAUAAGCCUGCUGAAGGGUCGUUCGAGACCAGGACGUUGAUAGGCUGGGUGUGCAAGCGCAGUAAUGUGCUGAGCUAACCAGUACUAAUUGCCCGUGCGGCUUGUCCC
rnacentral:rRNA from 1 species